AUGACCUCCUCUUCAGGGCUGCGAAGGCAAUCUUGAGGAAGCAGCAAUACAUCUGAUACAUACGGGGUACGUUAAAGAGGAGAAGGAAGGGUUCACAGUGAAUGACAAGCUUCUCCUGAGGCCCAGAUGCAACAAGCUCAGGUUUAAAAGCUGAAUCCAAGAGUACCAGGGAUGACUAGAAGGGGAAGUGCGCCGCUGGCAUUGCAGUCGAGUAUCUACCAGCCUAGGCAGGCCCUCAAGUAAGCUAAGACUUUCUGUUUUACAGACAGUGGGAAACACUGAUGGGUUUCCAGUUGGUGACUGGGGCCACCAGGUUCGUCUUUUUAAAGGUCCCUUCUAGGCACAGAAGGGAGCCCACGAUCAUGAAGAGUCCUGUGGUCCCUCCAAAAACAGAAGGAAGCCCCGGAUCAUGAAGAGCCCUGUGAUCUCUCUGAAAACAGGAAGCCCCAGAUCGGAUUGGUGAAGAAUCCUGUAGUCCUGCCGAAAACCUCGCUGCUCGCUGCUCUUUAUAACCGCUCCUGUCUGCUUAUUCUGCAAUGCUCAGUCUGUAAGACUCAUUUUCAAAAUCCAAUCUCGGCGCUGGGAUCCCAAGGCAGGAAUGUUGCCAUGAGUUCAAGACAAGUCUAGGCCACAUAGGAGACGUUGUCUCCAGAAGAGGAGGAAGAGAAAGGCUGAAGAGAUAGCACGUUGGUAGAGGACAGUGGAAGACUUAAGAGCAUAGAUUCCAGUGGAGAAAAGAGAAGCCUUUUGGGAUUUCAAGUCUCUCUCUUCAUUCUACUACCCAAUGCCCUUGCCGGGUCUUCUAAGGACGGUCUCCUCUGUAGCUCCCUCAUGGGUCCUACUUUCCUGGAAUUGCUGUCAAUUCAUGUGAGACUCUCUAGCUUUUACCCAACCUCCCCAUAAGCCACAAUCCUACGACAGUGUACAAGAGCUGACAACCUGCACAGAAUACCAACUGCCUACACUGGGAGGAGAAACCCAUGCCCACAUCACCUCCCACCAUACAGAAUAACAUCUGCUUCAACGGUUGAGGAUAGACUCACUCCCCUUUACAUGCAAACUAGUCUCUAAGACUUGCUCAACUUUGCAAACCAAAAAGUCCACCAAAAAUACUUCUUUUAAAGCUAAAAACUAAGCUUGCUUUGAAAAACAAUUAUCUUACCCAUCCCCAAACAUAGACAUAAGGAGAGCUCUGUAAAUAGGAGGUGUUACUCACUCAGUACAAACAUACUGAGUGAUACAGGCCCACACAGCAUUUCUCAAAAUCCUCAACCUAAUUGCUCUGAACACAUGAGAGUGCCAGGAACACCUGGUAUGCUACCCCACAGCGACACUUCACAGCAUACUCUUUCCAGAGUUUAUAUUUUACCUUCUAACAUCAGGUAAACUUUGUCUUUCAGAAGAUAAUAUGUAUACCCCCUUGGCU